rnacentral:lncRNA from 1 species
UUUUUUUUCCUUGUUUGUGAUUUAGCCUUCAACCUCACCUCCUGCCCCUCUCCACCCCUCCAUCCUCACCCCUCCUACCCCAAGGCCCAGCCCACCCCAAACCACUCCCCAUCCAAAAAGCAUGCACCACUGCCUUUGUGACAGCCCAGACAGCUGUCACCCUUUCCCCCAAAAGUUCUCUGCUCUUACUUGUGUGGCAAUACUCACCUGAUCAUCCAGUCACAUCUGCAACAUUUAGGGAUAUUUCCCCAAGGUUCAUCUGGCCUGCUUUUCAUAUGGUCACAAAGGCACUCCCAUCUAGUGACCAUAAUAAAACAAGGCUCGUUAAUUUACAAAUACUGACACAGGGUUAGGUGGUCACUACUUACAAAGAAAUAUAUAUGGCUUUUUAGUAUUUUCCUUAAUAGUGUGAAGAAAUCAUUCACCAAAUACGUACUGAGCACUUCCUCUGUUCCUUGCACAUGCUGGGUACUGGUGACAGAGCAGGGGACAAGACCGGUGAGGAGACCGCCAUCCAGAGCUUACAAAAUCUUCUGGGUGGGGAAUCAGAUAAACACAGAAAAGAAAGAAACCUGGAGUUCCCGUCGUGGCGCAGUGGUUAACGAAUCCGACUAGGAACCAUGAGGUGGCGGGUUCGGUCCCUGCCCUUGCUCAGUGGGUUAAUGAUCCGGCGUUGCUGUGAGCUGCGGUGUAGGUUGCAGACGCGGCUCGGAUCCCGCGUUGCUGUGGCUCUGGCGUAGGCUGGUGGCUACAGCUCCAAUUCGACCCCUAGCCUGGGAACCUCCAUAUGCCACGGGAGCGGCCCAAGAAAUAACAACAACAAAAAUUUUAAAAAAUUAAAAAAAAAAGAAAGAAACCUGACCAUGAGAGGCUCUGGUAACACCUCAUCAGCAAGAAUGCAUCAGCAGGAAAGGAUUCCACAAGUGGAGGGAGCAGCUUAGAUUAAGGCAAGGUCGGCUUCUCGGAAGAGGUAUCCUUUGCACGGACUUCUAAUGGAUGAACACAACCAGCCAUGAACACGGGAACAAGAGCACAUCCUGGGCCAAGGGGAUAGCGAGGACCAAGGCCUGGAUGUGGGAAAGGGCUCGGUGGGUAUUUGAAACAGAAAAAAAGCAGAGCGUGGCUUCUGUGAAAAGUUGAGAGCCGGAGAGCUGGGGCUGUUUUAACAAUCAAUGAGAGAAAGCGUGUGGAGUGUUUAGUGGAUGCUCACUAAACGCUCUCAAUCCUCAUCAGCAUCCUUUGCGUUUGCAGAGUUAGACAGACCAUGCAGGUCACUGCAGCCCAGGGUAGGAAAUCUGGGUUUUAAUCUAAAAAUAACUGCGAGUCACAGAUGCACAUUUGCAGGUAAGUGACAUGAUCUGAUUUAUUGUUUUAAAAAGAUACCCUGGAGUUCCUGUCGUGGCCCGGGAGUUAACGAAUCUCACUGGGAUCCACGAGGAUGCAGGUUCGAUCCCUGGCCUUCCUCAUUGGGUUAAGGAUCCGACGUUGCUGUGAGCUGUGGUGUGGGUCACAGGUGCGGCUCAGAUCCAGUGCUGCUGUGGCUGUAGUGUAGGCUGGCAGUUACAGCUCCGAUUCAUCUCCUAGCCUGGGAACCUCCAUAUGCCAUGAGUGUGACCCUAAAAUAAGUAAAGAAAUAAAUAAAAAGAUCCCUGGCUGCUCGGUGGGGAGAUAUUAGCGUGGGACAAGAGUGGAAGCAGGGUGGGUGGUGAGUGAGGGGGUAUUUAUAAGAAUCUGGAUCUUAACAACGUAAAAUGUCUGAACUCCCAUCUCUUAGGUUGAUCUUAAUACAAUUCAUAAAACAAUGAAAUUGUAUGUGCUUUUGAGGUGGCUACCCACUUUCGACAGAAAUGCUUGUAUCUUCUGACGUUCAUGUUUAAUGAUGGACAAUGCUGCUCUCUCGAGAAUGCUGCUGGGGUUUUUGCAACACCAAAGACCAGUUCUGAUUCUCCAGGCACCAGCUGGGUGGCCCGCAGCUCAGUUCACUUCUGACACUAAUAACCCAGCGUUUGCAUCAGAUCCCACAAGUUAAAGGGCACAGUUCCACCAGACCGGCCUCACUUCAAAUGCCAGUCACAAGUCCCAAGGCACCUGUAGUUCUGACUGACUGGCUAUAAGUUGGGAGUUCUCACCACCCCCUCUUCAGGUUUGAUAAUUUGCUGGAAUGGCUCACGGAACUCAGGAAGACACUUCACUUACUAUUAUUGAUCCAUGAUAAUCGCUGGAGCUCAGGAACAGCCAAAUGGAAGAGAUGCAGAGGGCCAGGAAGCAGAGGGCAGUGCAUGAAGGUUUCCGGGCAUGCCACCCUCCCAGUACCUCCAUGUGUCACUGAACCAGAAGCUCUCCAAACCCUGUUGUUUAAGGGUCUUUUUUUUUUUUUUUUUUUUUUUUUCUGGAGGUCUCAUUGUGUAGACAUGAUGGGUUAUUAAGUCAAUUGCUAGCCCCUCUCCCCUCCUGGAGGUUGAGAAUGAGGCUAAAAGUGCCAGGCUUCUAAUCAAGAUGUGGUCUUUCUGGCAACAUGCCCCAUCCUGAAGCUAUCUGGGGACCCACUGCAGGUACCUCAUGAGAACAGAAAACAUUCCUUGCAUCCCCAUCACUCAGCAAUGCAGUCCCUGCUGUAGCCCAGUGGGUUAAUGAGCCGGCUUGUCUGUGGCUUUGCUGGUUUACAGGGGGUUAAGAAUCCAGUAUUGCUGCUGCUGUGGCAUAGGCUGCAGCUCCAACUCAGAUUUGAUCCCUGGCCCGGGAACUUCCAUAUGCUGCAGGUGAAGCCAAAAAAAAAACUUUUUUUUUACUUCCUAUCACUCAGGAAAUUCCAAAGGAUUUAGGAAUUCUGCGUCAGGAACUGGAAAUAUAUUUCUAAUUAUGCGACACCCACCAUUGGACCAAUAUAAAUACUUGAUCUAUUUGAUCUGAGAAUAAUAUUCUUGGUCAUGGCAUCUAAACGGAAAUAUGUCAAUGGUCUAUAAAUAACUGCUCAGAUCUGCUGUGCCAGGUAUUUUGUAACAGCUCACUCACUUCCCUGGGUAUUACCUUCAGAAGACCAUUAGCUUCCAAAGAACAGAGCUGAUGAUUUUUUUGGUCUUUGUUUUGGCAAAUGCUUAGCACAGUUCUUAGCACAGAGUAGGUCCUCAAUAAAUGUUUCCCAAGUGCACUGACGAACACCAUGUGUUAUGCACUGACUGCCUGGGUCCCCUUCCUGAUUUGUAUGUGGAAAUCCGAACCCCUAACGUGAUAGUAUUAGGAGGUAGAGUCCUUGAGAGAGAGCGAGGUCGUGACUAUGUCUCACUCUCCGUGGACGGGAUCCGUGCCCUUAGAAGAAGGGGGAACAGCCUGCAGGCACCCACCAAGGAAGGCCAGGGGAGAAUACAACCCACGGAAGAGGGCCAACAAGGACUCAGCCAGGCUGGCACCCUGGUCUCCAACUUCCAGCCUGAGAAAUAAAUGCCUGUUUGGGCCCCAUCUGUAGCAUAUGGAAGUUCCCAGGCUAGGGGUCAAAUGAGAGCUAGAGCUGGCGGUCUCUGCAGCUGUAGCUCCGAUGCCAUGCAGGCCACAGCAACACUGGAUCCGAGCUGCAGCUGUGCCCUACGCCACACCUCAUGGCAACGCCGGAUCCUUAACUCACUGAGCAAGGCCAGGGAUCGAAGCCCCAGCCUCAUGGAGACUAUGUCGGGUUCUUAAGCCACUGAACCACAAUGGCAACGCCAAUGCCUGUUGUUUCCACCACUCAUCCCGUUGUGUUUGUUACAGCAAUCCGAGAUGACGGAGACAUUAUAGAAGCACCUUAGUAAGAUACAGUCCAAUCCCUCAAGGAGCUUGUAAUCCAUUUAGGAAGAAAAUAGAGACGCAAAAUACCUAAAUGUUAAUUAUCUGCAAAACCCUCAUGGGAGAGAGGUGCUCAGACUUCGGGGGUAACCUGGGUUCUGAGCACACUGGCUGUGUGCCCCUUGGAGAGUUACUCCACCUCUCUGAGUUUUCCUGUCACUUUCUGUGAAGGGUGGCUAUGAGAAGUAGAUAAUCCACAUAAAGUGCUAAGAUCAGUGCUUGGAACACAGAAAAUGCUAUCAAUUUAAACCCCAAAGAGGGUAUGAUUUUUUGUGCUGAGUAGCACUGAUGUCAAGGCUGAAGUGUUUGUUUGGGUUAAUAAGAAACAAGAUAAAUAAUGAGAUGACGGAAUGCAUGCACGGUUUGGCAUCCCGUGAAUCCUGGAGGCUUGACAGCAAUCCGCCCAGAGGUCUCCUGUCUUCAAAAGAGCAACUGGCAUUGGCAGCCCCCUCCAAGACACAGGGACCUUGGCUGGGUCCUCCCUGGGUCCCUGCUGUGGAGUGGCAGCUUGGCAAGGAUCCAGGGCAUGGCUGCGCCUGAACCACCUCCAAGAAGCCACUCACUCUGCUUCUGGCUGGAGGGUGGUUUGGGUGACCACGAGUGCCAAUUUUAGCUGGGCGCUGGCCACGUGUUGGCAGAGAGGCUCUGGGAAAAUGUGACCUCUUGUUUCAUUAAAUCCUGCCUGGGCCCAUCGCCAGAGCUGGCUUUUGGCCCCUGCCAUGGAGCUGGUGCAGCGCAAUGAAGCAGUGGCUGCUUCUCGGGCAGACUGAUUCACUCGCCUGGGGUCCUACACAGGUGAUUAGUGACAAGGAGGCCACCGCUGCCCACCUCACUUCUCCUGCAGCUGGAACGUGGUGCCCUCCCAGCACGUUCCCUUGUUGUCUUGGCAAUACCAAGCUUUUCAAAAGCUUCAACAAGGCUCAGAGCCAGUCCAGCCUGCCUCUCUCAGUCUCACCCCAACCCCUUCCAACCAUAGUAUCAAAGGGAGGUUGUACUUCCAAAAAUCCAGUUGGGGGAGUCCAGCUUCUCCAUAAAGGUGGUGUGUGAAGCCCCUGACACAUGAAAUUCUUCAACCGCGCUGCAAAUGCUACUGACACAUUUCUAGAUCAUGACACUAUCGCAUAACCUGGACCUGAUUAUGGGGUGAAGUGCCCAUCUUCCAAUGCUUGUCUUUGCGCUCCAAGUCAAGUUCAAUUCAGCCUGCUGCUCUUCCCCUCAAUCAUCUUUUAUUUCUUUUCUCUAUUUGUGGAAUAUGUCACUUAAAUUGGAAUUUAUCCAAUAUCUUCCGUUUGGUGGACGGAGGCAGAAGGUCAUGAUGACGGAGUCUGAGUUGGAAUCUCAGCCUCAUCGUUUACUAACAGGUGACCUGGAGCAAGUUCCAUAAACUCUCUGAUGCCUUAUCUGUAAAAAUGGGGCUUUUAUGAAGCACAAAUGAGAUCGUAUGUGUAAAAGACUUCAGAGAGCACCUGAAACGUAGGAAACACUCAUUGAAUGGUUGCCACUAAUAUUCUUUUUGUGUUGUUUUGCUUUCUAGGGCUGCACCUGCAGCAUAUGGAGGUUCCCAGCCUAGGGGUCGAAUCAGAGCUACAGCAGCUGGCCCACACCCCAGCCACAGCAUCUCGGGAUCCAAGCCACGUCUGUGACCUACGCCACAGCUCAUGCCAACGCUGGAUCCUUAACCCACUGAGCAAGGCCAGGCAUCAAACCUGCAUCCUCAUGGACAGUGGUCAGAUUUGUUUCUGCUGAGCUGCAAGGGAACUCCACCAAUAAUAUUCUUAUUCCCAAAGCCUCUGGUCAAUCAUUCAUGUCAUUACCCCUUUUCUUUCUUUAGCUCCACUCCUUACAAACAUAACAGGCAUUUAGUUCAUUCACUUAUCAGACUUUUUAAUGGAAAAGUUAAGUACUUUAAAAAAAAAAAAAAA